rnacentral:rRNA from 1 species
CAUGCAAGUCGAACGAGAAUCUACUGAAAGAGUUUUCGGACAAUGGAUGUAGAGGAAAGUGGCGGACGGGUGAGUAACGCGUGAGGAACCUGCCUUGAAGAGGGGGACAACAGUUGGAAACGACUGCUAAUACCGCAUGACGCAUAGAGGUCGCAUGAUCUUUAUGCCAAAGAUUUAUCGCUUCAAGAUGGCCUCGCGUCUGAUUAGCUGGUUGGCGGGGUAACGGCCCACCAAGGCGACGAUCAGUAGCCGGACUGAGAGGUUGAACGGCCACAUUGGGACUGAGAUACGGCCCAGACUCCUACGGGAGGCAGCAGUGGGGAAUAUUGGGCAAUGGGCGCAAGCCUGACCCAGCAACGCCGCGUGAAGGAAGAAGGCUUUCGGGUUGUAAACUUCUUUUAAGAGGGAAGAGCAGAAGACGGUACCUCUAGAAUAAGCCACGGCUAACUACGUGCCAGCAGCCGCGGUAAUACGUAGGUGGCAAGCGUUGUCCGGAUUUACUGGGUGUAAAGGGCGUGCAGCCGGGUCUGCAAGUCAGAUGUGAAAUCCAUGGGCUCAACCCAUGAACUGCAUUUGAAACUGUAGAUCUUGAGUGUCGGAGGGGCAAUCGGAAUUCCUAGUGUAGCGGUGAAAUGCGUAGAUAUUAGGAGGAACACCAGUGGCGAAGGCGGAUUGCUGGACGAUAACUGACGGUGAGGCGCGAAAGUGUGGGGAGCAAACAGGAUUAGAUACCCUGGUAGUCCACACUGUAAACGAUGAAUACUAGGUGUGCGGGGACUGACCCCCUGCGUGCCGCAGUAAACACAAUAAGUAUUCCACCUGGGG